UACGAAGGGUGCAAGCGUUACUCGGAAUUAUUGGGCGUAAAGCGCGCGCAGGUGGUUUCUUAAGUCUGAUGUGAAAGCCCACGGCUCAACCGUGGAGGGUCAUUGGAAACUGGGAGACUUGAGUGCAGAAGAGGAAAGUGGAAUUCCAUGUGUAGCGGUGAAAUGCGUAGAGAUAUGGAGGAACACCAGUGGCGAAGGCGACUUUCUGGUCUGUAACUGACACUGAGGCGCGAAAGCGUGGGGAGCAAACAGG
rnacentral:rRNA from 1 species